ACCUCAAAUCAGGUAAGAAUACCCGCUGAACUUAAGCAUAUCAAUAAGCGGAGGAAAAGAAAAUAACAAUGAUUCCCUUAGUAACUGCGAGUGAAGAGGGACAAGCUCAAAUUUUAAAUCUGUUAGGUUCAUCUAACCGAGUUGUAAUUUGAAGAGGCGUUUUCUGCGUUUUUGAUCAGUCCAAGUCCUUUGGAAUAAGGCAUCAUGGAGGGUGAGAAUCCCGUUCGGUUGAUCAAAUUUGCUUUAUGAUACGUCAUCUAAGAGUCAAGUUGUUUGGGAUUGCAGCUUAAAAUGGGAGGUAAAUUUCUCCUAAGGCUAAAUAACGGCGAGAGACCGAUAGCGAACAAGUACCGUGAGGGAAAGAUGAAAAGAACUUUGAAAAGAGAGUCAAAUAGUACGUGAAAUUGUUGAAAGGGAAACGAUUGAAGUCAGUCGUACCUGCGGGAUAAUCAGCCUUUCGAGUAUGAUUCUGUGGAGUGUAAGGAGUUUAACCGUCUUCAUACCUGCAUAUUCGUGCGCUUUGGGUGUACUUGUCCGUAUGGUAGGUUAACAUCAAUUUUGGUCGUUAUAAAAUGACUAGGGGAAUGUAGCUUUGAUCCCGUAUUGAAGUGUUAUAGUCUCUGGUAAAUGCAGUGACUAGGAUUGAGGAUUGCAACGGAUACCUUUCGGGGCUACUCGUCUGAUCUCUGGAAGUUACUUUGGUGCUAAAAGCUUGCUUAUGGUUAUCGAAGUUGACGGUCAAUAGGUUAGAACGAGUUAAAUUCGUUAAGGAUGUUGACGUAAUGGCUUUAAACGACCCGUCUUGAAACACGGACCAAGGAGUCUAACAUAUAUGCGAGUGUUA
rnacentral:rRNA from 1 species